rnacentral:rRNA from 1 species
UACGUAGGGAGCAAGCGUUGUUCGGAUUUACUGGGCGUAAAGGGCGCGUAGGCGGCGCGGUAAGUCACUUGUGAAAUCUCUGAGCUUAACUCAGAACGGCCAAGUGAUACUGCAGUGCUAGAGUGCAGAAGGGGCAAUCGGAAUUCUUGGUGUAGCGGUGAAAUGCGUAGAUAUCAAGAGGAACACCAAUUGCGAAGGCAGCUCGCUGGGACGUUACUGACGCUGAGACGCGAAAGCGUGGGGAGCAAACAGG